CCCGCACAAGCGGUGGAGCAUGUGGUUUAAUUCGAUGGUACGCGAGGAACCUUACCAGGGCUUGACAUACGUUGGAAGCGCAUCGAAAGGUGCGUGCCGCUUGCGGCCGGCGUACAGGUGCUGCAUGGCUGUCGUCAGCUCGUGCUGUGAAGUGUUGGGUUAAGUCCCGCAACGAGCGCAACCCCUGCUGCCUGUUGCCACCACGAGAGGUGGGGACUCAGGCGGGACCGCCGGUGACAAACCGGAGGAAGUGGGGACGACGUCAAGUCAUCAUGGCCCUUAUGUCCUGGGCUACACACGUGCUACAAUGGCCGGUACAGAGCGCAGCGAGGCCGCGAGGCGGAGCGAAUCGCUUAAAGCCGGUCCCAGUACGGAUUGGAGUCUGCAACCCGACUCCAUGAAGUUGGAAUCGCUAGUAAUCGCGCAUCAGCAUGGCGCGGUGAAUACGUUCCCGGGCCUU
rnacentral:rRNA from 1 species